AUGAAAAGAUGAAAUAAUGAGCUCGCUUCCAGGCUCGCGAAGCAAAAAAAUUGAGCACUACCCAAAAAAAUCGAGCAAAAUUUGUUAGGAGGGAGCUCCAAAGAGAGACAGAGAGCUACGGAAAUGGAAAUGGCAAUAUAAAUGGGCGCAGAGCCCAGAGCAGAGAGCUCUCUCGGAGACUCCGUGUGUUCUGUGUGCUC
ensembl:ncRNA H34C03.18 ncRNA